rnacentral:lncRNA from 1 species
GUGUUUCCCAAUCUGAACUUGGCCGCUGAACCCUUCUCCUUAGAUAUAGUUGUGACAUGCUGGAGAAUUGCCCAGCACACCCGCAUCCCAGCGUGUGUGCUCUUUAACACUCAUCAGCAAGCAAGGGGCCCCUCUCUGCUGGGCCCACACUGAAAGCGCAGGCUGAGAGCUCCUCCAUGUCCGCCUUACUGCUGAGGGGACAAGAGGCAUUAGCUGCACCCUGCGGGAGCCUCCUAUCAGAUCCCUACAGUGGGACUCCCACCCUGGCACAGCCCUCCAGACAGAGGCUGGCCCCUGGAGGCUUCCAGACACCCUGUCCCAGCCACGUGGCCUCGUUCCUGUUCCCCUUCCCUACCCUGCAGGACUCGCCUCCACACUUGUGAUGUCUCCUGAAGAUAACUCCGGUUGGAAGUUUCUUCUACCUGAAAUGAAACCAUAACCCCUGCAGCAUCCACUUGGGGUGCCAGAGUCCCACCUCCAGCACAGUCUUCAUUACUGGCCAUGGCAGGGAGGAGUACAGUUUAGAAAGGCCAUGAUCCCAACACCCACUGAUCAAAACUUCUGAGUCCGUAAGUCUCUGAUUACAAUUCCUUCUAAGGAACAGCCUAUAACCCUAACCCAACCUUUGGGGAGUCCAUCCUUCUAUGAUUCAACAUCCAGGUGUGACAAGGGAGGGCCUAAAAUCUACCCAUCACCCAGCUAGGAGGCACAGCAGCCCCACCCGAAUCCGACUCAAAGGCCCAGGGUGUCUCUCCUGCCCAGGACCCUUAGGUCUGGCUGGAGGGGAGUCUGGAGACCAGGGCAGGAGCGCGGGGCAAGAGCUCAGUUAGACUGAUAAUAUGGCUCAGGUAGUUUCCACCACAGCUGCGGCUACAACCCACGUGUACUGACCCCUCACCAGGCCGGAGCUGGGGCUCAGGACUGGGCAAAUCUAGGAGAGACAGAGGUGUAAGCCAAACCUUGCCUUCAAGGACUUUCAGACCAGCUACAGAACCAGACAAGCCCAGGCCCGGUGUGGUCUGGGCUGGAGGCUUGGCUGGAACAGAGCAGGGGCACCACAUAGUCCAGAGACUUCCCGAGGGACAGGAAGGAUGGCACCUGAGGUUCCCUUGCCAUGCCACCCAUAGUCACUGGCCAGCAGCCUUCCUGUUGGGAAAAGGGAGAUGGGGGAGGGAACCUUGCCUGACAUCUCAUCCUGGCCUGAGCUUUGAUCUUGGAGCCUCCCAACUUCCCACCAGGAUUCCACACUCAGGUGGGCUCCCAUCUGGGAGGCUCUGGCCAUAGCAGGCAGCUGUUGGGUUCCCUUCUCAGCUCCUCCCACCCCCAAUGAGUCCUGCCUCAUUAGGGAGGAGAGAAGCAGCCAGUGAGUGUGCCAGGCCCUGGGCUAGGUGCUGGGAGUAUGGAGAUGUGUGGGGCCAAGGUCCUGCCUCUGAGAGGCGCCCAGUCUGCACCGGCACACAGUCUGCACCGGCACACAGUAGUGGCUCAAAUAGUCUCAAACUAAACUGAAACUAACAAAGCAAAGUGCAGAGGGUGUGGCAGGACUCUGGGGCACACCCUCCCCUCUUCCCCACGCCUGCGGCUCCUGAUGCCACAGGGGUGCAGGGUAAGGAGAGCCUACUGUUUCCUAAAGGCGCUCACAUCUUGUAAAACCAGCAGUUAUGGAGCACUUACUGUAUGCCUAACUCUGUGUUGAGUGGAGGGCCAAAGAGGAGAACUACUGAGUUUGGGGGCAGUCAGAGCAGCACCUACAUCAUUGCCCUACAAGAAGGAAGGGGGACUGAGGCUGUUUGCCAGGAGGAAUGAGAGGAGACGGGCUUCACAGAUGGAGCAAACUGCCAGGAGAUGUGGAGAACAGGGUGUCGCGAACCGCUCUGGGAGGGUUCCUGGUGGCUGAGGGGUGGCACGCACCUCCCUUAAAGGGAGCUGGCAGGGGUGUCUUGUCCACUCUGCAGAAUGGGCAGGCCCAGGACAGCUGGCCCAUCAGACCAUUAGAAACAGCG